rfam:Chrysochromulina sp. CCMP291 CAF.Contig9355, whole genome shotgun sequence.
GAUUGUAUAGCAUAAUUGGUAAUGCGAUAAAUUGCAAAUUUAUUUUAUGGUAGUUCAAGUCUGCCUAUAAUCU